AGGCGCGCGAUACAGGGUGACAGCCCCGUACACAAAAAUGCACAUAUUGUGAGCUCGAUGAGUAGGGCGGGACACGUGGUAUCCUGUCUGAAUAUGGGGGGACCAUCCUCCAAGGCUAAAUACUCCUGACUGACCGAUAGUGAACCAGUACCGUGAGGGAAAGGCGAAAAGAACCCCGGCGAGGGGAGUGAAAAAGAACCUGAAACCGUGUACGUACAAGCAGUGGGAGCCUCUUAAUGGGGUGACUGCGUACCUUUUGUAUAAUGGGUCAGCGACUUAUAUUCUGUAGCAAGGUUAACCGAAUAGGGGAGCCGAAGGGAAACCGAGUCUUAACUGGGCGUUAAGUUGCAGGGUAUAGACCCGAAACCCGGUGAUCUAGCCAUGGGCAGGUUGAAGGUUGGGUAACACUAACUGGAGGACCGAACCGACUAAUGUUGAAAAAUUAGCGGAUGACUUGUGGCUGGGGGUGAAAGGCCAAUCAAACCGGGAGAUAGCUGGUUCUCCCCGAAAGCUAUUUAGGUAGCGCCUCGUGAAUUCAUCUCCGGGGGUAGAGCACUGUUUCGGCAAGGGGGUCAUCCCGACUUACCAACCCGAUGCAAACUGCGAAUACCGGAGAAUGUUAUCACGGGAGACACACGGCGGGUGCUAACGUCCGUCGUGAAGAGGGAAACAACCCAGACCGCCAGCUAAGGUCCCAAAGUCAUGGUUAAGUGGGAAACGAUGUGGGAAGGCCCAGACAGCCAGGAUGUUGGCUUAGAAGCAGCCAUCAUUUAAAGAAAGCGUAAUAGCUCACUGGUCGAGUCGGCCUGCGCGGAAGAUGUAACGGGGCUAAACCAUG
rnacentral:rRNA from 1 species